UGACAAGAGCCAAUAUUGUAAGAAGAAAGG
rnacentral:piRNA from 1 species